GGGAAUAUUGCACAAUGGGCGAAAGCCUGAUGCAGCAACGCCGCGUGAGUGAUGAAGGCCUUCGGGUUGUAAAGCUCUGUCUUCUGGGACGAUAAUGACGGUACCAGAGGAGGAAGCCACGGCUAACUACGUGCCAGCAGCCGCGGUAAUACGUAGGUGGCAAGCGUUGUCCGGAUUUACUGGGGGUAAAGGAUGCGUAGGCGGAUACUUAAGUCAGAUGUGAAAAUCCCGGGCUUAACUUGGGAACUGCAUUUGAAACUGGGUAUCUAGAGUGCGGGAGAGGAAAGUGGAAUUCCUAGUGUAGCGGUGAAAUGCGUAGAGAUUAGGAAGAACACCAGUGGCGAAGGCGACUUUCUGGACCGUAACUGACGCUGAGGCAUGAAAGCGUGGGGAGCAAACA
rnacentral:rRNA from 1 species